rnacentral:rRNA from 1 species
UACGUAGGGGGCAAGCGUUAUCCGGAUUUACUGGGGGUAAAGGGAGCGUAGGCGGUCUGACAAGUCAGAAGUGAAAGCCCGGGGCUCAACCUCGGGACUGCUUUUGAAACUGCCGGACUAGAUUGCAGGAGAGGUAAGUGGAAUUCCUAGUGUAGCGGUGAAAUGCGUAGAUAUUAGGAGGAACACCAGUGGCGAAGGCGGCUUACUGGACUGUAAAUGACGCUGAGGCUCGAAAGCGUGGGGAGCAAACAGG